rnacentral:lncRNA from 1 species
CUGAUAUUUAGGCUGGGUCAUAAGAGGAUAUCUUAGAAUCUGAGGGAAUCACUGCUCCUGGAAAAAAAGGUGUAAAGAGAUGAGACUAUGCUUCAAAGAUGGAGAGCUGGAUAAGCACAGGGUCAGGGCUGGCUAGAAACUAUUUGGAUAAUUUUGCACCAAUGUAAAUGUAUCAGUGAAAUUUGGAAAACGGAAGCAAGAUGUGAGAGGGUGUAAAAUGUAAAAUGUAAAAUUUGCAAAAACGCAAACUACUGACUCUAUAUUGCUUCAGAAUACAGCCCCAAUUCCACCACACUCCAGAGCAGAGCUUCCCCAGUGGAUUAUAAAUGCCCAAUGAGAUAUUUAUGGUCUCAGUUCUCAGAGUGGAGAGAGCUUGCUGGAUAAAAUGUCUGUGUAUAAGGAACAAUUGAACAUUGAGAACACAGAACCUCUGAAUAGAACCUCAGAACUCAAGCUGCUCUGGGGAUUGGGACUAUCUUCCCUGAAGAGAUAACUUUCAGUUGGCAUUUGGAUGAAGGCAGAGGAAGGAAAGUGAUGAGGGGCUAUUUCUUGGCUCCGAAAACUGUGAUUGUGAUAAGAAGUAUUGUGUUACAAAGAGUCUUCUAUGGACACGACAGAUUUUAUGGGCUAGAGGAGAUUCCAGGCACAGUGAAAUCGAGAUGAAGCUGCGCCUUGAUUGGCUGUUAAAUUGCGAUCAAUGAAAAGUAUUUGUACCAUAAUUUUGCAACCACGCAAGACCAAGCCAUGCUGGUGGUAAGUCACUGUGUACAUACCAUCAAAGCUAAAGUCACUGGGAUAACUAAACUAAAUUUUCUUUAAGACAACUGGGUACAAUAGACAUUAUAUUUAAAAAAAAAUCUGGGCAUUUUUCUGCCUCCUGGUUAAAAAGAAAUAACAGAUGAACAAGGACAAACUCCAAAUACGAAUGGUGACUUGUCUCUAUCAUAUGUUAUGAAGAAAACCAAUGCUAGUCUCCCCUUU